AUAAGUGUAGUAUUAUUUGUACAAUCUAUUGUGGUUAGAUAGGUAAUACUUAUA
rnacentral:tRNA from 1 species